rnacentral:rRNA from 1 species
UACGUAGGGGGCUAGCGUUGUCCGGAUUUAUUGGGCGUAAAGAGCGUGUAGGCGGCCAGGUAGGUCUGGUGUGAAAACUCGAGGCUCAACCUCGAGACGCCGGUGGAAACCAUCAGGCUAGAGUCCGGAAGAGGAGAGUGGAAUUCCGUGGUGUAGCGGUGAAAUGCGCAGAUAUCAGGAGGAACACCGGUGGCGAAGGCGGGUCUCUGGGCAGUAACUGACGCUGAGGAGCGAAAGCGUGGGGAGCGAACAGG